UACGUAGGCAGCAAGCGUUGUUCGGAAUUACUGGGCGUAAAGAGUACGUAGGUGGUUUGCUAAGUCCGAUGUGAAAUCUCCCGGCUUAACUGGGAGGGUGCGUUAGAUACUGGCAGGCUUGAGUGUGGGAGAGGAAAGCGGAAUUCCUGGUGUAGCGGUGAAAUGCGUAGAUAUCAGGAGGAACGCCUGUGGUGUAGACGGCUUUCUGGACCAUUACUGACACUGAGGUACGAAAGCGUGGGUAG
rnacentral:rRNA from 1 species